rnacentral:lncRNA from 1 species
UAUGAUCCUCGUAUACUCUGCUGCUGCUGGCCCAUGUAUAGGUUUGCUGCUUCUGGCGAUAGGACUCCCAUUUGUACAUUCCAAGGGUGCCGGAAUUUCAACUCUCGUCUUCUUCGCCAUUCAGCUGUACCUCCUGUGGCAAAGAAUAGAGAAGAAAAUAUUGCCGCAACGCAUGCCAGUAACGCUUCAGUACUGCCCACAGAACACCACCUACGUACAGAAGAGAUUAAAUGAUACGUACACUUGGAGCCCACAUAGAUCAGUUAAUCAUGACGCGCCAUAUCUCAUUUCACCCUUUUGGAGCUCUUUAUUUUCCACUGCAGGGACGCUCCUCUUGGGAAUAAUGAUUAGUAUUGC